rnacentral:rRNA from 1 species
UACGGAGGGUGCAAGCGUUAUCCGGAUUUACUGGGUUUAAAGGGUGUGUAGGCGGACUUUUAAGUCAGCGGUGAAAUCUCCGGGCUCAACCCGGAAACUGCCAUUGAUACUAUUGGUCUUGAAUAUUGUUGAGGUGGGCGGAACGGGUCAUGUAGCGGUGAAAUGCAUAGAUAUGACCCGGAACACCGAUUGCGAAGGCAGCCCACUAAGCAAUGAUUGACGCCGAGGCAGCGAAAGCGUGGGGAUCGAACAGG